rnacentral:rRNA from 1 species
UGCCAGCAGCCGCGGUAAUACAGGGGGGGCGAACGUUACUCGGAAUCACUGGGCAUAAAGGGCACGUAGGCGGUCCUGUAAGUCGGAUGUGAAAGACCCUGGCUCAACCAGGGAAGUGCAUCCGAAACUGCAGGGCUUGAGGCCGAGAGGGGUGAGUGGAACUCCUGGUGGAGCGGUGAAAUGCGUAGAUAUCAGGAGGAACACCGGUGGCGAAGGCGACUCACUGGCUCGGUUCUGACGCUGAGGUGCGAAAGCUAGGGUAGCGAACGGGAUUAGAUA